rnacentral:rRNA from 1 species
AUGAACGCUGGCGGCGUGCCUCAUACAUGCAAGUCGAGCGAACAGACGAGGAGCUUGCUCCUCUGACGUUAGCGGCGGACGGGUGAGUAACACGUGGAUAACCUACCUAUAAGACUGGGAUAACUUCGGGAAACCGGAGCUAAUACCGGAUAAUAUAUUGAACCGCAUGGUUCAAUAGUGAAAGACGGUUUUGCUGUCACUUAUAGAUGGAUCCGCGCCGCAUUAGCUAGUUGGUAAGGUAACGGCUUACCAAGGCAACGAUGCGUAGCCGACCUGAGAGGGGGGUCGGCCAAACUGGAACUGAGACACGGUCCAGACUCCUACGGGAGGCAGCAGUAGGGAAUCUUACGCAAUGGGCGAAAGCUUGACGGAGCAACGCCGCGUGAGUGAUGAAGGUCUUCGGAUCGUAAAACUCUGUUAUUAGGGAAGAACAAAUGUGUAAGUAACUAUGCACGUCUUGACGGUACCUAAUCAGAAAGCCACGGCUAACUACGUG